rnacentral:tRNA from 1 species
CAUAACUUAGCUUAACAAAAGCAUCUUGCUUACACCAAGAAGACAUCUGUUCAAAUCAGAUUUUUAUGA